rnacentral:rRNA from 1 species
UGGGGAAUCUUGCGCAAUGGCCGAAAGGCUGACGCAGCGACGCCGCGUGUGGGAGGACGCCUUUCGGGGUGUAAACCACUGUUGCCCGGGACGAACACCUAGUUUCGACUAGGCUGACGGUACCGGGUGAGGAAGCACCGGCUAACUCCGUGCCAGCAGCCGCGGUAAUACGGAGGGUGCGAGCGUUGUCCGGAAUCAUUGGGCGUAAAGGGCGCGUAGGUGGCGGGAUAAGCGUGCGGUGAAAGCUUGGGGCUCAACCCCGAGUCGGCCGUGCGAACUAUCUUGCUUGAGCACUGUAGAGGCAGGCGGAAUUCCGGGUGUAGCGGUGGAAUGCGUAGAGAUCCGGAAGAACACCGGUGGCGAAGGCGGCCUGCUGGGCAGUAGCUGACACUGAGGCGCGACAGCGUGGGGAGCAAAC